CCCUUAGAUGUCCUGGGCUGCACGCGCGCUACACUGAUGUGUCCAGUAAGCACCUAACAUCUUCCGAAAGGAACGGGUAACCUUUGCAAAGCACAUCGUGAUGGGGAUAGAUUAUUGCAAUUAUUAGUCUUGAACGAGGAAUUCCUAGUAAGCACAAGUCAUCAGCUUGUGUUGAUUACGUCCCUGCCCUUUGUACACACCGCCCGUCGCUCCUACCGAUUGAAUGUUCCGGUGAGCUCUUCGGACUGCGCGGUCUGCAGUUUCUGCGUUCCGUGCGGAAAGUUGCGCAAACCUUAACAUUUAGAGGAAGGAGAAGUCGUAACA
rnacentral:rRNA from 1 species